rnacentral:misc_RNA from 1 species
CAAGGUUUUCAAUGUUGUCAUUUUUUUCGCGUUCUUCUAUGUGUGUUUUUGCGGUUAAAGAAUAGCAUUUUAAAUUAAAAAAAAACAAUAAUAAUGUUUAAUCAAAGUGCAUUGGGUGGUUUUGGGACCACGGUAACACCAUCAAAUUCUAACCCAAUGAAGGACUACGAGGUGGUACAACCACCCGACGACUCCAUCAGUUCUUUGGCAUUUUCACCGUCGUCGAUGCCCCAAAAUUUCCUCAUUGCCGGGAGCUGGGACAAUAACGUGCGGUGCUGGGAGAUCGAGCAAAACGGAACCAGCAUCCCAAAGUCGAUGCAGUCCUGCGGGGCCCCGGUUUUAGAUGUAGCCUGGCACGAUGAUGGUAGCAAGGUUUUUAUGGCGGGAUGCGACAAGCAAGCCAAAAUGUGGGAUUUAGCCAGUAACCAAGUGGUUCAAGUUGCAGUCCAUGAUGCACCUAUUAAAACCUGUCACUGGAUCAAGGCUCCGAAUUAUUCGUGCCUAAUGACCGGAUCCUGGGAUAAAACUCUCAAGUUUUGGGAUACGCGUAGUGCCACGCCGAUGUUAAGCCUCAAUUUGCCAGAGAGAUGCUAUUGUGCCGAUGUGGAUUUCCCUAUGGCAGUAGUCGGAACGGCUGGAAGACAAAUUAUUGUGUACCAGCUCGAAGGAAAGCCUCAGGAGUUUAAAAAACUGGACAGCCCGCUCAAAUAUCAACAUAGAUGUGUGGCAAUUUUCAAAGACAAGAAAAAAUCUCCUACAGGAUACGCUCUGGGUUCCGUUGAAGGAAGAGUAGCCAUCCAAUACGUAAAUCCGACAAAUCCCAAAGACAACUUCACCUUUAAGUGUCACAGAUCAAACGGUGCCCCCAAUGGUUACCAAGAUAUCUAUGCGGUUAAUGAUAUAGCAUUUCAUCCGGUUCAUGGUACUUUAGCCACAGUGGGAGCGGAUGGUUCCUUCAGUUUUUGGGAUAAGGAUGCCCGCACCAAACUGAAGGCUUCCGAGCUGAUGGAACAGUCUAUAACUAGAUGCGCGUUCAAUCAUAACGGCCAGAUUUUUGCCUACGCUGUUAGUUACGAUUGGAGCAAGGGACAUGAGUUUUAUAAUAGUCAGAAGAAGAACUACAUUUUUCUUAGGUCAUGUUAUGAAGAGUUGAAACCAAGAACGUCUUAGAUGUUCUACAUUUAGUAUUUAAGGUAAAAUUAAGUUUUGGUAAGGUUAUAUAUGUAUAGGCUUGGUGCAUUCUCUGCCAGCAUAAUCGGAGAAUACUCAGCUUAUUAUUAGUAUUUCAGCUAUAACAAAAACUUUCAAAAUUAUGUAACGGGCACUUAGUUUACUCACCUGUUUUGUCGAACUGCUUGGAUCCAUUUUUGCCUUUGAUCAAAUCGAUGUGAGAAGCUGUGAAGCUAUAUAUAUAUUGAAUAUCUGGGAAAAUGGAGUUACUGAAUGUUACUGCACCCAACAACCACGUAAUUACGCCCUAAUUUACGUGUUAAUAUUCCUCACAACACAACGCGACGCCACGCCAAGUUCGUGUUCUUUUUCACUACCUUUUACUACCCGCGGAUCAGCUUUACUUCACACAAACCUACUACCCGAGUGUUUUAUAGUUUCAAUAACAGCACUAGCAAACAUUAAAAUACUUAAAUAUUAUGAGAAAACGACGAUUUUAAUAUUAUUUCAACGCGAUCGGCAUAAACGGUAAAUGCAUAGAAAACAAGUGAACAUCAAGUAAAAUACUUUAGUCGGGCACAGCACCCUAGGACUAGGAAAUACUGCGGUCGGAAUUUUUAAAAUCAACUGAACGCACCAAGUCUAACUUAUUUGUUUUUAAACAAUUUGUUUGCCCAAUAAUAUGCAUUUAAAUUACACAAAUUAUACAGUGUAUUACGUUGUAAAUGUAUUUUUUACUUUAUUCUUAAAUACGUUUAAAAAAAUAAAAUAAACGAAUUUAAAGAAAAA